rnacentral:rRNA from 1 species
UUCUUCGAGAGUUUGAUCCUGGCUCAGAACGAACGCUGGCGGCGUGCUUAAUACAUGCAAGUCGUACGAGAAAGUCCCUUCGGGGAUGAGUAAAGUGGCGCACGGGUGAGUAACACGUAGGUAACCUACCUCAGGGACCGGGACAACCUACCGAAAGGUGGGCUAAUACCGGAUCAGACCACGGGGGCUUCGGCCCCAGCGGCAAAAGUUGGCCUCUGCGUGCAAGCUAACGCCAUGAGAUGGGCCUGCGGACCAUUAGCUUGUUGGUGGGGUAAUGGCCUACCAAGGCUGAGAUGGAUAGCUGGUCUGAGAGGAUGAUCAGCCACACUGGGACUGAGACACGGCCCAGACUCCUACGGGAGGCAGCAGUAGGGAAUCUUGGGCAAUGGGCGAAAGCCUGACCCAGCAACGCCGCGUGGGUGAUGA